rnacentral:rRNA from 1 species
GACGAACGCUGGCGGCGUGCUUAACACAUGCAAGUCGAGCGGUAAGGCCUCUUCGGGGGUACACGAGCGGCGAACGGGUGAGUAACACGUGGGUGACCUGCCCUCAGCUCUGGGAUAAGCCUGGGAAACUGGGUCUAAUACCGGAUAUUACCUUUCCUCGCAUGGGGUUUGGUGGAAAGUUUUUUCGGCUGGGGAUGGGCCCGCGGCCUAUCAGCUUGUUUGUGGGGUGAUGGCCUACCAAGGCGACGACGGGUAGCCGGCCUGAGAGGGCGACCGGCCACACUGGGACUGAGACACGGCCCAGACUCCUACGGGAGGCAGCAGCGGGGAAUAUUGCGCAAUGGGCGGAAGCCUGACGCAGCGACGCCGCGUGGGGGAUGACGGCCUUCGGGUUGUAAACCUCUUUCGACCCCGACGAAUUUGGACGGUAGGGGUAGAAGAAGCACCGGCCAACUACGUG